rnacentral:rRNA from 1 species
GGGUUGUGAGGUUAAGCGACUAAGCGUACACGGUGGAUGCCCUGGCAGUCAGAGGCGAUGAAGGACGUGCUAAUCUGCGAUAAGCGCCGGUAAGGUGAUAUGAACCGUUAUAACCGGCGAUUUCCGAAUGGGGAAACCCAGUGUGACUCGUCACACUAUCAUUAACUGAAUCCAUAGGUUAAUGAGGCGAACCGGGGGAACUGAAACAUCUAAGUACCCCGAGGAAAAGAAAUCAACCGAGAUUCCCCCAGUAGCGGCGAGCGAACGGGGAGGAGCCCAGAGCCUGAAUCAGCAUAUGUGUUAGUGGAAGCGUCUGGAAAGGCGCGCGAUACAGGGUGACAGCCCCGUACACAAAAGCGCAUGUGCUGUGAGCUCGAUGAGUAGGGCGGGACACGUGGUAUCCUGUCUGAAUAUGGGGGGACCAUCCUCCAAGGCUAAAUACUCCUGACUGACCGAUAGUGAACCAGUACCGUGAGGGAAAGGCGAAAAGAACCCCGGCGAGGGGAGUGAAAAAGAACCUGAAACCGUGUACGUACAAGCAGUGGGAGCCCCACCACUAAGCCAGUGGUGAACUCCACAUACGCAUCCUUUGCUGAGGAUACGGUUAACGGAGCGAAAGCGACGUUCAACCUCAAAAGAAGCAGAGGGGGCUUAGUGGUGGGGUGACUGCGUACCUUUUGUAUAAUGGGUCAGCGACUUAUAUUCUGUAGCAAGGUUAACCGAAUAGGGGAGCCGGAGGGAAACCGAGUCUUAAUUGGGCGUUAAGUUGCAGGGUAUAGACCCGAAACCCGGUGAUCUAGCCAUGGGCAGGUUGAAGGUUGGGUAACACUAACUGGAGGACCGAACCGACUAAUGUUGAAAAAUUAGCGGAUGACCUGUGGCU